rnacentral:tRNA from 2 species
UAAUUUAAAGCUUAAAUAGUAAAGUAUUUCAUUUACAUUGAAAAGAAAUUUGUGCAAAUCAAUUUAAAUUAA